UACGGAGGAUGCGAGCGUUAUCCGGAUUUAUUGGGUUUAAAGGGUGCGUAGGCGGAUCGUUAAGUCAGUGGUCAAAUUGAGGGGCUCAACCCCUUCCCGCCAUUGAAACUGGCGUUCUUGAGUGGAAGAGAAGUAUGCGGAAUGCGUGGUGUAGCGGUGAAAUGCAUAGAUAUCACGCAGAACCCCGAUUGCGAAGGCAGCCUGCCGCAGCGUUACUGACGCUGAAGCUCGAAAGCGCGGGUAUCGAACAGG
rnacentral:rRNA from 1 species